rnacentral:rRNA from 1 species
AAGUCGAACGGAGGCCCUAGCUUGCUAGGUGUCCUUAGUGGCGCACGGGUGAGUAGCACGUGGGAACAUACCUUAUAGUACGGAAUAACUGCGGGAAACUGUAGCUAAUACCGUAUAUUCCAGCAAUGGGAAAGAUUUAUCGCUAUAAGAUUGGCCCGUCGCAAGAUUAGCUUGUUGGUGGGGUAAAAGCUCACCAAGGCUUCGAUCUUUAUCUGGUUUGAGAGGACGAUCAGCCACACUGGGACUGAGACACGGCCCAGACUCCUACGGGAGGCAGCAGUAGGGAAUAUUGGACAAUGGGGGCAACCCUGAUCCAGCAAUGCAGCGUGAGUGACGAACGCCUUAGGGUUGUAAAACUCUUUCAUCGGUGAGGAUAAAUGACAGUAGCCGAAGAAUAAGGACUCGGCUAAUUCCGUGCCA